CUGCUCCAAAUGAAAUCAAUGGUAAUUGCAGCUGCUCAGAACAGAUGUAAAUUAGAGCACCACAAUAGCAUCUUCCCCAGUACAUCCAAUUAUUGCUGAAGGAAAUACAUGGGAGACAACAAUGUCUGGCAGGGAGAGGACUUUAUUGGGAGUAAAAUGAAUCCUGGGCCAGAUUUCACUUUUUGCAUGUAAAAGGGCAGCCCAAGUUGACAUUUUUUGACUGCCUAUUCUGGCUGCGUGGGCUAGUGAGAACAAGGAUUGGAAAAAACAGAAAUAGAAAGAAGCUGCCCUCAGCAAGUUCAGCUCCCUGUACGGCUGCAGGCCACGCUCUGAGUGCUGCAGUGGGUUUCUGACAUACAGAAUAGAAAGAAGAUGGAAGAAAAGGAAGAAAAUAAGACUAAUUACACGUUGUGGGCGUAAAUGAACUGGUUCUUG